UACGUAGGGUGCAAGCGUUAAUCGGAAUUACUGGGCGUAAAGCGUGCGCAGGCGGUUUUGUAAGUCUGUCGUGAAAAUCCCCGGGCUCAACCUGGGAAUUGCGAUGGAGACUGCAAGGCUAGAAUCUGGCAGAGGGGGGUAGAAUUCCACGUGAUAGCAGUGAAAUGCGUAGAGAUGUGGAGGAACGACCGAUGGCGAAGGCACUCUACUGGGCCAUUACUGACACUGAGAGACGAAAGCUAGGGGAGCAAAUGGG
rnacentral:rRNA from 1 species